CUCUCUCUCAAAUCAAUAAACAUACCAUCAUAUGAGGACAAAAAAUAAACAUGCAGCAGAAGUGAUAGAAAAACAGUAUCAGUGUGGUAUGUAUACAACAUAAAUGGAUCAUAUUAUUUUGUUAGAGUUUGAGACAAAAAUAGCUCCUUAAUCUUACAGGUCUAGUUUUUAAUCAUGUUUCUAUUGCCUAGUGUCUAUGGCUUUCAAGGGCAAUCUGAAAGGGAAAUACGUCUGAUAGAAUAUUGAUUGGAUUAGCAUAUAGCAUUCUCCUCUUAGAGGAAAUAUUGCAACAUCCAAGAUGCCUUUUUCCAGCUUUUGGAAAAACCACAGGUCAAAAUUGUGUUGCCAGAUGAGAGUGUUUCAUGGAGGGAAGUUGCCUGUGAAUUUCCAGAUACUAAAGGCCAUCCUGACUGUCCUUUAAGAAAGAUCCAAGAGCCUUUUAUUAUGAUUCAAAAAUAUUAUGGUCACUUUAGGACUCUUUUUUUCCAGAGCCACCAAAAUAUCAUUUGUACUGCCCAAACUGAAGUGGGCCAUCACUUCAGAGUGGAAUAUGGAAGAAGCUAGUGUGAGAUCCAAGUAGUUUUAAAAGAUGGAGUUUCGGCAGAAAGGAACAUUUAUCGUUUUCUUACUGAGAUACAGAAAAAGUAUUCAAAGACUUGAUCUUCUUUUAAAUCAAAAGAAUCCUUCUCCACACUCCAGCCAGAGGAACUUUCAGGGGGGAAAAAACCCCUGAGUAAUCAACAUGUAUUUCACAGAUUUAUCAGCUCACACCCAACAGCUCACUUCAGUUGGAUUGAGCCUGUGUUUGGAACCUCAUAUUUGAUGACCUGUAAUUUUGUUUCGAGAGCGGCAUAGAGAGAGAGAAAGAAAAGGGACAUUUCACUUCCCCUCGGUCAGCAAUGUUGUAUAAUUAUGAUCUCUGGCUAGGAAAUAAAUGCUUGUUAAUA